CGUUAUAUCAUCCCCAUCAUCAUCCUCACCCUAUUACAUCAAUUUUUUUUUUCCAGUAGGAUCAGUUUUGACCUUGUUUCUUGCAUGUUGUUGUCUUUUGCAGGGGUUCCUCUAACCAUUUGAGCAUUCACUUAGCCAUCUUUGCAAGCUCUAUUGUUCGCUUUUUCUGUCAUUCGGUGCGCCCUUUGAUUUAGUUUUUUCAGCUUGGCCUUUCUCUAAGGCAAGUUGGACUACAAAAAUCAACCUUUUCUUCUGGCAAUUCUUCCAUGAAGGGAUUACCUACCCCGACUCUUGGUGGUGGAGGUGGCUUACCUGCCCAGUACAAGCAUCUAGAUGGUAUCAAUUCAUCAAUUCCAAACUAUGGAUUGAGUGGGUUUUCCAUAAAUCCAACAUUGGCUUCGAUGAUUGCUCAGCAGCUUGGCACAGGUAAUCUGCCUCCAUUAUUUGGAAAUGUUGCUGCAGCAUCUGCCAUGGCCAUCCCUGGGAUGGACUCAUGAGUGCUUGGAGGUGGCUUGCGUUCUUGAGCAAAUCUAAGAGCUGCUUCAUUGGAAUCUUGGGAGAUGGGGGAGUCCAAUAGCAGGAAGCGCUCUUCAGGCACCUUUUGUUGAUCCUAUGUAUCUCCAUUACUUGAGGGCUCCUGACUAUGGUGCUACCAGCUUGUUGCUAUUAAUGAUCCCUCAAUAGAUAUGAACUACUAAGGUGGGAAAUCUGUCGUUUCUGAUCAUUAUGGUUAUUUUGGGAAUCCUGCCUUCAGUGUUGGUAUGCCAUUUCCUGGAAGUACCCUGGCAAGUCCUGUCAUUCCAAACUUCCUAGUUGAACCUGGCAGUCCCAUAAGACACAAUGAACUGAAUAUGCAUUUUCCUCUGGAUAGCGUAGCUGGUGGCAUCAUGGGACACUGGCCCUUGGAUGCAGGAUGUAACAUGGAAGAAGCUUUUAGUCAUCCCUGUUGGAAGAGUUUAAGAGCAAUAAACUAGGUUUCUUGAGCUUUCAGAAAUUGCCAGCCAUGUUGUUGAGUUCAGCAGUGCGGAUCAGUACGGGAGCCAAUUUAUUCAACAAAAACUUCAGACUACCACAACGGAUGAGAAAAAUGUGGUUUACGAGGAAAUCAUGCCCCAAGCUCUGGCUAUGAUGACUGAUGUGUUUGGUAAUUAUGUAAAUCAGAAGGUACCAUAUAUCUAUGCUUUCUUACUUGUCAUGGUUUGAAUAUGUACAUACAUACAUACAUACAUAUAUUUGUGUGUGUGUAAAUAAAAAAAAGAGCUAUGUUGGAGUGGUUACUAGGAUUUUUUUUUGAUGAAACAAAUGGUCUGCAUAUGUAAAGAAGGUUGAGAGAUGUUUUAUCACUUUAAAAUAAAAUU